rnacentral:rRNA from 1 species
UUCUGGCUCAGAUUGAACGCUGGCGGCAGGCCUAACACAUGCAAGUCGAACGGUAACAGGAAGAAGCUUGCUUCUUUGCUGACGAGUGGCGGACGGGUGAGUAAUGUCUGGGAAACUGCCUGAUGGAGGGGGAUAACUACUGGAAACGGUAGCUAAUACCGCAUAACGUCGCAAGACCAAAGAGGGGGACCUUCGGGCCUCUUGCCAUCGGAUGUGCCCAGAUGGGAUUAGCUAGUAGGUGGGGUAACGGCUCACCUAGGCGACGAUCCCUAGCUGGUCUGAGAGGAUGACCAGCCACACUGGAACUGAGACACGGUCCAGACUCCUACGGGAGGCAGCAGUGGGGAAUAUUGCACAAUGGGCGCAAGCCUGAUGCAGCCAUGCCGCGUGUAAUGAAGAAGGCCUUCGGGUUGUAAAGUACUUUCAGCGGGGAGGAAGGGAGUAAAGUUAAUACCUUUGCUCAUUGACGUUACCCGCAGAAGAAGCACCGGCUAACUCCGUGCCAGCAGCUGC